GAUUUUCAAUAUAGCUUCUUAUUUAGUUUUCUUGCUGUUAUGGUCUAUGACAAUGAGUAGUUUUGUUCUCCAGAUCAGACGAGGUCUCAGUUUCACAUCUGUGGCUCUGCUGCAGGAAUCUGUGCUAUAUAUACAUCUUAAAUGAAGGAUGAAAAAGAUAUCGAGCUCAACAUAGCAGCGGAACUUGGGAUCUUCCACUAGAACCUUGUCAGUUUUCAGUUGUAGCAACCCGGGAGUCUCCCCCUUCAGAAGUUCGCUGAAAUCAAAUUUUAUCUACUUAAGUGAAUAGUAGUGUACCAAAGUGUGGCCUCCAGAGAGAGCUACAAUGUCCUUAUCGGAUAGACCCAUCCGAGAGAAGACAGUUCUUAGAUGCGAGGCACCUGCUAUAGCGGAAAAAAAAGGCUUGGGAUUCAAUUAUAGUUUGUAAUAUUGGAUGAGUCAUGGAUUUUGGUGGCACGAGGAACCUUGAUUCGGGUCUGGAAGUUCUCCUUCAUCCGGGGAAUCUGCAUCCUGAAUCAUAUACUGAGUAACUUCCACUGCAACGACUCCAGCGAGCUGAGAAAAUAAACAACUUUCAGGCACAUUGAGGAGGAAAAAGUUCACGGUUUCUUGGCUAGAGAUUCCGGUAAGUUACCUGAUAAAGAUCUGCGUAUGUGAUUCGAGGAUGCUUUGCCUUCACUUCCUCUGAAACCAAAAACCCAAAUCCAGACAUCAACAAAGGACAGGGCAGUUGAGACAUUAGAUAAAAAAAACCCAACUACAAAGACUGGUGAAGAACAGAGCCAUGUCUCACCACAAAACUGCACUGCUUUCUCCAGUCCUUUGUUUGGUGGCCGUUUCAGCUCUUCCUCGAACCUGAUUGAUCCAUUGGGGCCUCCGGUUUUGUUCUUGGCAUCAUAUGUUCCCGCAUCAUGCCACCUUUUUCACGCC